UACGGAGGGUGCAAGCGUUGUCCGGAUUUAUUGGGUUUAAAGGGCGCGUAGGUGGUCUGAUAAGGGUGUGGUGAAAGCCCGGGCUCAACCCCGGGUCGGCCGUGCCGACUGUCAGACUAGAGUGCUGUAGGGGCAGGCGGAAUUCCGGGGUGUAGCGGUGGAAUGCGUAGAGAUCCGGAGGAAGACCGGUGGCGAAGGCGGUCUGCUGGGCAGUUUCUGACGCUGAGGCGCGACAGCGUGGGGAGGCAAACAGG
rnacentral:rRNA from 1 species